rnacentral:rRNA from 1 species
GCAUAUCAAUAAGCGGAGGAAAAGAAACCAACAGGGAUUGCCCUAGUAACGGCGAGUGAAGCGGCAACAGCUCAAAUUUGAAAUCUGGCCUUCGGGUCCGAGUUGUAAUUUGUAGAGGAUGCUUUUGGUGAGGUGCCUUCCGAGUUCCCUGGAACGGGACGCCAUAGAGGGUGAGAGCCCCGUCUGGUUGGACACCGAUCCUCUGUAAAGCUCCUUCAACGAGUCGAGUAGUUUGGGAAUGCUGCUCUAAAUGGGAGGUAUAUGUCUUCUAAAGCUAAAUAUUGGCCAGAGACCGAUAGCGCACAAGUAGAGUGAUCGAAAGAUGAAAAGCACUUUGAAAAGAGAGUUAAAAAGUACGUGAAAUUGUUGAAAGGGAAGCGCUCAUGACCAGACUUGGGCUUGGUUGAUCAUCCAGGGUUCUCCCUGGUGCACUCUUCCAGUUCAGGCCAGCAUCAGUUCGCUGCGGGGGAUAAAGGCUUUGGGAAUGUGGCUCCCUCGGGAGUGUUAUAGCCCAUUGUGUAAUACCCUGUGGUGGACUGAGGAC